UGGGGAAUAUUGCACAAUGGGGGGAACCCUGAUGCAGCAACGCUGCGUGAGCGAAGAAGGCUUUCGAGUCGUAAAGCUCUGUCCUAAGGGAAGAAGUAUGACGGUACCUUAGGAGGAAGCCCCGGCUAACUACGUGCCAGCAGCCGCGGUAAUACGUAGGGGGCAAGCGUUAUCCGGAAUCACUGGGCGUAAAGGGUGCGUAGGCGGCUAAUCAAGCCAGGGGUGAAAGGCUACGGCUUAACCGUAGUAAGCCUUUGGAACUGAAUAGCUUGAGUGCAGGAGAGGAGAGUGGAAUUCCUAGUGUAGCGGUGAAAUGCGUAGAUAUUAGGAGGAACACCAGUGGCGAAGGCGACUCUCUGGACUGUAACUGACGCUGAGGCACGAAAGCGUGGGGAGCAAACAGGAUUAGAUACCCCCGUAGUC
rnacentral:rRNA from 1 species